GACGAACGCUGACGGCGUGCUUAACACAUGCCAGUCGAAGGGAGUGGCGAACGGUUGAGUAACACGUGAGUAACCUGCCCUUUUCUUUGGGAUAAGCCUGUGAAACUGGGUCUAAUACUGGCUGAAUUGGGAUGGUCUAGCGUCAUAUCAGCGUGUUGGUGGGGUGAUGGCUUACCACGGCUUUGACGGGUAGCCGGCCUGAGAUGGUGUGCGGUCACACGGGGACUGAUAGACGGCCCAGAGUGCUACGGGAGGCAGCAGUGGGUUAUAUUGCACAAUGGACGAAAGUCUGAUGCAGCGACGGCGUGUGGGGGAUGAAGGCCUUCGGGUUGUAAACUCCUUUCGCCCGCGGAAUGGUAGUGGGUAAAGAAGCGCCGGCUAACUACGUGCCAGCAGCCGCGGUAAUUC
rnacentral:rRNA from 1 species